AGCAGCAGCCGCGGGAAUGCGGAGGGAGCUAGCGUUGUUCGGAAUUACUGGGCGUAAAGCGCACGUAGGCGGCUAUUCAAGUCAGGGGUGAAAGCCCGGGGCUCAACCCCGGAACUGCCUUUGAAACUAGAUAGCUUGAAUCUUGGAGAGGCGAGUAGAAUUCCGAGUGUAGAGGUGAAAUUCGUAGAUAUUCGGAAGAACACCAGCGGCGAAGGCGGCUCACUGGACGCAUAUUGACGCUGAGGUGCGAAAGCGUGGGGAGCAAACAGGAUUAGAUACCCCAGUAGUCCCUGUCUCUUAUAA
rnacentral:rRNA from 1 species